rnacentral:rRNA from 1 species
CGAGCCAGGACGUGGCAGUUGACGGCGAUGUUAGGAAGUCCGAAGACGUCGGAAGAGGCCUCGGGAAGAGGUAUCUUUUCUGCUUAACGGCCUGCCAACCCUAGAAACGGUUCAGCCGAAGGUAGGGUCCAGCGGCCGGAAGAGCACCGCACGUCACGCGGUAUCCGGUGC